rnacentral:rRNA from 1 species
GUGACCUCAAAUCAGGUAGGACUACCCGCUGAACUUAAGCAUAUCAAUAAGCGGAGGAAAAGAAACUAACAAGGAUUCCCCUAGUAACUGCGAGUGAAGCGGGAAAAGCUCAAAUUUAAAAUCUGGCAGUCUUUGGCUGUCCGAGUUGUAAUCUAGAGAAGUGUUAUCCACGCUGGACCGUGUACAAGUCUCCUGGAAUGGAGCGUCAUAGAGGGUGAGAAUCCCGUCUUUGACACGGACUGCCAGGGUUUUGUGAUGCGCUCUCAAAGAGUCGAGUUGUUUGGGAAUGCAGCUCAAAAUGGGUGGUAAAUUCCAUCUAAAGCUAAAUAUUGGCGAGAGACCGAUAGCGAACAAGUACCGUGAGGGAAAGAUGAAAAGAACUUUGGAAAGAGAGUUAAACAGUACGUGAAAUUGCUGAAAGGGAAACGCUUGAAGUCAGUCGCGUUGUCCAGGGAUCAACCUUGCUUUUGCUUGGUGCACUUUCUGGUUAACGGGUCAGCAUCAAUUUUGAUCAUUGGAAAAAAGUUGGGGGAAUGUGGCAUCUUCGGAUGUGUUAUAGCCCUUGGUUGUAUACAAUGGUUGGGAUUGAGGAACUCAGCACGCCGCAAGGCCGGGUUUUUAACCACGUACGUGCUUAGGAUGCUGGCAUAAUGGCUUUAAUCGACCCGUCUUGAAACACGGACCAAGGAGUCUAACAUACCUGCGAGUGUUUGGGUGGUAAACCCGAGCGCGUAAUGAAAGUGAAAGUUGAGAUCCCUGUCGCGGGGAGCAUCGACGCCCGGACCAGACCUUUUGUGACGGUUCUGCGGUAGAGCAUGUAUGUUGGGACCCGAAAGAUGGUGAACUAUGCCUGAAUAGGGUGAAGCCAGAGGAAACUCUGGUGGAGGCUCGUAGCGAUUCUGACGUGCAAAUCGAUCGUCAAAUUUGGGUAUAGGGGCGAAAGACUAAUCGAACCAUCUAGUAGCUGGUUCCUGCCGA